UGGGUGGAGGGAUGUGCUCAGGCUACAGGCUGAUGUUGAGGAAGCGCUGAUUCAAGGGUAGGUAUGAUUCUAACUCUGCACCUGCCUAAAGUGGCAUCUCGGUCUUCACAGAGACCGUCAGCUCGCAGGGUUCUUCAUUUCCAAACCAGAUGUGAUACUCAGGUAACAAGAAACACCUUGGCUCUCAGAGGAGAAAUUCUCAAACUGCAUUCACCCAGGUGCAGUGGAAGGCAGAGCAGUGACUGAAAUAGAUCCCCUCAGAAAGGUGUCAUAUUUUACCGGAGACAGAAAUGGUAAGAGCUGAAGAGAUGGCUCAGUGGUAAAGAGCACUGA